UCCGCAGCAAACGUAACCGCGCACUCUCGGCAAUCCUCAAUCCGCCCCAAAACCCCACUCCUCUCGCACUUUCUCACUCGAAUCAGAUAGCGGUGUUUUUCGGUAGACAAUAAUUCUGUUUUUUAUUUCAAUACAAGAGCGCUGGCAUUCUCGCCGCUGGCACGGAUGCCGACCGUGGUCGAGGCCGCCGGGACUUACGUCCAUUGGCGAGCGCUCUGGCCCUGUGCAUGCCCUACGCGAGGAGCGGCAGGGGCCAAUGCCGGUCGGGUGAUGCAGCGGGAUAAGGUCGCUCGACAACGCCGGCAGGCAUCCGUGCGGCGACGGGAGUGGCAUACUCUUGUAUUGGUGCCUCCAUUCACCAUUUGUCUGCGACUCAUUCGUUGAACUCAUCAAUAUGGUAUGUUUCUAUCUCCCUCUCUUUUCUUUUUGUUUGCGUGUGUUUAGGGAUAAACAAACUCCAGUGGAAAACAUAUUGUCUACUUGAUAUUUUGUCUACUCGAUAUUCCGUUCAUACUUGCCACCGGCACCGGCGGCCAUGCAACCGUGGCCCCAGCAUUGGUGGCACCAAGCAGCGAUCAAGGCAGCACUGCAUAACGCAUAACAAUAUGAAUAGUGGAGACAGUAGUGGAGACGGGCAGCAGUCGGUUCUGUCAAUCAGCUUUUCGGAGUGGGGUAAUUCUUGAUGGAAAGUGUAGUAGUCAUGACUGAUUUUAUCUUUUGUUGUCAAUGAAUUAUGGAUUUUGAACAUAUUUUGGUAGAGUGGUAGUCAUGACUGAUUUUAUCUUACCUUGCUGCUGCUACUUUAGACACCCAUGAAGCAGCAUAAAGAUUGCAAUUUCUCCUAUGCUGGCUCAAAAACCCAAGUGAGGCUGGCAAUAGAAUCCAUAAAUAUAAAUGCUCAGAUUUCUUUAUCUUCAGCAACUACUCAAGAUAGAGAAGUGACCGAGCCAACAUCGCCGCCUCUUUUCAGGCUACUAAAAUCUGCGAGCUGCAGGGUGUAUCCUUCACAAAUGGUUGCAAUUCGAUACACUGCUGUCACAUGCAGAGAGUUGCAGUUUUACACUUAGAGGAGAGGUGCGAACUCGCAAUGGACUGGGCAAUGGAAAUGGAGCCUUUGUCGAAACAUCUGGUGCCAUUACUAAUUAACUUUGCAUUACCUGCCUCCUUAGAGUAUUGACGUAAAGCUUUCCAACAGUUUUGGAGAUGGGCAGCAGACGGGUCUGUCAAUCAGCUUUUUGGAGUGGGGUAAUUCUUGAUGGAAAGGGUAUUAGUCAUGACUGAUUUUAUCUUUCUUCGUCAAUGAAUUCUGGAUUUUGAACAAAUUUUGGUAGAGUAAUAGUCAUGACUAAUUUUAUCUUUUGUUGUCAAAUUUCAGAUUUUGAACAUAUCUUGGUAGUGUAGUAGUCAUCCACUGAUUUUAUCUUUUGUUGUCGAUGGUCUUUCAUGUCAAGAUUUUUUGUCUUGUUUGUAACUCAGGCAAUUGACAUCCAUGCUUUGCAAAAGCUUGUUGAGCAUGCAGACAUUAAUCUUGAUGAACAGGAUGCUGAUGGAUAUACAUCUGAGGGCUGCAGCAAAUGGUAACAUGGAAGCUCUAAGGGUGCUUGUCUUUGCCAUGGCCAACUCAAAACUAAAAACCAAGCAAGGUGUUACGGUGAGAAGCUUAUCAGAGUUGACUCAAAAUGGGGAAACAUUCGAAGACCCACGUCAUGUGGCAUGGGAUGGACUGAUUGAUCUGGUUCAUGUCCUAAUGAGCAAAGGUCAUGAUGUGAAUGCCCCUGAUGCAGAUGGAUAUGCCCCACUGAUUUUAGCUGCAAAGGGAGGUCACAGCGCUCUGUGUGUGCUCCUAAUCUUACAUGGAGGGAGGUGCAGCUUGGAGAAUGCGAGACAUGAAACUGCUCUCUCACUCUCAAGUGUAAGCUGCACCUCAUUGGAAAUGAGAUAGAGAGAGUGACCUUAGAUGAGCUUGCUAGGAAGGUGGUGUUGGAGGGUGUUAAGAAGCACAAGAAAUGUGGCAGAGGAACUCUGCACGUUAAAUUAUUGAGGAUGGUCAGGCCCACUGCAGUUCUGUGCUGGGGCAGGUCGAGCAAGAGGAAUGUGAUAUGCAAGCGGGCCGAGGUGGGGUUAGUUUGUCUUUACACUGGAACUGGAGGCGGAAGUUCGACACAGAUGAACCGAGGAUGUUCCAUGUCGUGACGAUGAAGAACAAGGAAAUCCACUUUGUGCGCAAGGGAGGCAAUGAAAUGGCUCAGUUGUGGGUGAGGGGAAUCAAGCUCAUGAUGAGGGAAGCCGUUUUCGGCGAGAGCGAACGGAGAGUGUGAUUCAUCGAGCUGCGGGGGCUCUAUCCGCAGUGUAUAUGUAAUGGAAGCUAAAGGAGAUCCGCCUGAUCUUCAUUACACUAUAUCUUUAGUAAUCCUUGUAAAAAAAACCUUUUGGUUUAUGCAGUGAUCGAGAAAGAGAUUUUUCAUGAGGAUGGCAAACUAGUAA